rnacentral:rRNA from 1 species
UACGAAGGGGGCUAGCGUUGCCCGGAAUUACUGGGCGUAAAGGGAUCGUAGGCGGAUAGUUUAGUCAGAGGUGAAAUCCCGGGGCUCAACCUCGGAACUGCCUUUGAUACUGGCUAUCUUGAGUAUGGGAGAGGUGUGUGGAACUCCGAGUGUAGAGGUGAAAUUCGUAGAUAUUCGGAAGAACACCAGUGGCGAAGGCGACACACUGGCCCAUUACUGACGCUGAGGCUCGAAAGCGUGGGGAGAAAACAGG